rnacentral:rRNA from 1 species
UUAGCGAUUUAAUUACAACUCCAAACCCCUGUGACUUACCUAUGUUGCCUUGGCAGGUCGUGGUGUGUAGCGUGAUCGCUAUAAGGGAUCACCGCCUCGCACCACGCUGAAAGACCUGUCAAAGGACCCCUAAACUCUGUCUUACAACUGUAUCUCUGAGUCUAUUAUAUAAACAAGUUAAAACUUUCAACAACGGAUCUCUUGGCUCUGGCAUCGAUGAAGAACGCAGCGAAAUGCGAUAAGUAAUGUGAAUUGCAGAAUUCAGUGAAUCAUCGAAUCUUUGAACGCACAUUGCGCCUGAUAGUAUUCUGUCAGGCAUGCCUGUUCGAGCGUCAUUUCAACCCCCAAGCCCUAAUCUGCUUGACGUUGGGAGUUUACGGAGACGUAAUUCCUUAAAUAUAGUGGCGGAGCUAGGUCGUGCUCUAAGCGUAGUAACCACACUCUCGCUUCUGCAGCCGGCCUAGGUCUUGCCGUAAAACCCCUAUAUUUAUUUUUUUACUGGUUGACCUCGGAUCAGGUAGGAAUACCCGCUGAACUUAAGCAUAUCUA